CAGUAGCCGCGGUAAAACCGAGGUGCCGAGCGUUAGGCGGAAUCACUGGGCGUAAAGCGAGCGCAGGCGGUUAGAUAAGUCUGAAGUUAAAGGCUGUGGCUUAACCAUAGUACGCUUUGGAAACUGUUUAACUUGAGUGCAAGAGGGGAGAGUGGAAUUCCAUGUGUAGCGGUGAAAUGCGUAGAUAUAUGGAGGAACACCGGUGGCGAAAGCGGCUCUCUGGCUUGUAACUGACGCUGAGGCUCGAAAGCGUGGGGAGCAAACAGGAUUAGAUACCCCUGUAGUCCCUGUCUCUUAUACA
rnacentral:rRNA from 1 species